GACGAACGCUGGCGGCGUGCCUAACACAUGCAAGUCGAACGAAGCAUUGGAAGCUUGCUUUUGAUGCUUAGUGGCGGACGGGUGAGUAACGCGUGAGCAACCUGCCUUUCAGAGGGGGAUAACGUUUGGAAACGAACGCUAAUACCGCAUAAGCCCACGACCCGGCAAUCGGGUUGAGGGAAAAGGAGCAAUCCGCUUUGAGAUGGCCUCGCGUCCGAUUAGCUAGUUGGUGAGGUAACGGCCCACCAAGGCAACGAUCGGUAGCCCGGACUGAGAGGUUGAACGGCCACAUUGGGACUGAGACACGGCCCAG
rnacentral:rRNA from 1 species